rnacentral:rRNA from 1 species
GACGAACGCUGGCGGCGUGCCUAAUACAUGCAAGUCGAGCGAGCGGAACUAACAGAUUUACUUCGGUAAUGACGUUAGGAAAGCGAGCGGCGGAUGGGUGAGUAACACGUGGGGAACCUGCCCCAUAGUCUGGGAUACCACUUGGAAACAGGUGCUAAUACCGGAUAAGAAAGCAGAUCGCAUGAUCAGCUUUUAAAAGGCGGCGUAAGCUGUCGCUAUGGGAUGGCCCCGCGGUGCAUUAGCUAGUUGGUAAGGUAAAGGCUUACCAAGGCGAUGAUGCAUAGCCGAGUUGAGAGACUGAUCGGCCACAUUGGGACUGAGACACGGCCCAAACUCCUACGGGAGGCAGCAGUAGGGAAUCUUCCACAAUGGACGCAAGUCUGAUGGAGCAACGCCGCGUGAGUGAAGAAGGUUUUCGGAUCGUAAAGCUCUGUUGUUGGUGAAGAAGGAUAGAGGUAGUAACUGGCCUUUAUUUGACGGUAAUCAACCAGAAAGUCACGGCUAACUACGUGCCAGCAGCCGCGGUAAUACGUAGGUGGCAAGCGUUGUCCGGAUUUAUUGGGCGUAAAGCGAGCGCAGGCGGAAGAAUAAGUCUGAUGUGAAAGCCCUCGGCUUAACCGAGGAACUGCAUCGGAAACUGUUUUUCUUGAGUGCAGAAGAGGAGAGUGGAACUCCAUGUGUAGCGGUGGAAUGCGUAGAUAUAUGGAAGAACACCAGUGGCGAAGGCGGCUCUCUGGUCUGCAACUGACGCUGAGGCUCGAAAGCAUGGGUAGCGAACAGGAUUAGAUACCCUGGUAGUCCAUGCCGUAAACGAUGAGUGCUAAGUGUUGGGAGGUUUCCGCCUCUCAGUGCUGCAGCUAACGCAUUAAGCACUCCGCCUGGGGAGUACGACCGCAAGGUUGAAACUCAAAGGAAUUGACGGGGGCCCGCACAAGCGGUGGAGCAUGUGGUUUAAUUCGAAGCAACGCGAAGAACCUUACCAGGUCUUGACAUACUGUGAGGACACAAGAGAUUGUGUUGUUCUGACCUUUGGUUAGACACAGACACAGGUGGUGCAUGGUUGUCGUCAGCUCGUGUCGUGAGAUGUUGGGUUAAGUCCCGCAACGAGCGCAACCCUUAUAUCUAGUUGCCAGCAGUAAGAUGGGGACUCUAGAUAGACUGCCAGUGAUAAACUGGAGGAAGGUGGGGAUGACGUCAAAUCAUCAUGCCCCUUAUGACUUGGGCUACACACGUGCUACAAUGGAUAGGAACAAAGAGAAGCGAGCUCGCGAGAGUCAGCCAACCUCAUAAAACUAUUCUCAGUUCGGAUUGUAGUCUGCAACUCGACUACAUGAAGCUGGAAUCGCUAGUAAUCGCGAAUCAGAAUGUCGCGGUGAAUACGUUCCCGGGUCU